UUAGGAAUUUUGCACAAUGGACGAAAGUCUGAUGCAGCGACAUCGCGUGUGGGAUGAAGGCCUUCGGGUCGUAAACCACUUUUUUAGGGCUCUAAAGCCCUUAGAAUAAGGAACUACUAACUACGUGCCAGCAGUCGCGGUAAUACGUAGGUUCCAAGCGUUACCCGGUUUUAUUGGGCGUAAAGCGUCUGUAGGUUGUUUUUUAAGUCUUAUCUUAAAGCCUCCGGCUCAACCGGAGAAAGGGGUAGGAUACUGGAAGACUAGAGUUAUAUCGGGGUUACUGGAAUUUGCAGUGUAGGGGUAAAAUCCGUGGAUACUGCAAAGAACACCAAGCGCGAAGGCGGGUAACCAGGUAUAUACUGACACUGAGAGACGAAAGCUAGGGUAGCAAAUCAG
rnacentral:rRNA from 1 species